GCCCCCGUAGCUCAGGGGAUAGAGCGCCGGCCUCCGGAGCCGGGUGCGUGAGUUCGAAUCUCGCCGGGGGCA
rnacentral:tRNA from 1 species